GAAAUGAGUCAACAAGAGAAGCAACACAAGAGUGGAACAAAGGAAAGGCCAGAUUCCCCUGUGCCCAGCUGUGUGUCUAUGAAGAGUGAUCAAUCACUGCCAAUCCCACUCAACUUUACAGGUGGAACAUCCUCUAUGGAAAGCAAACAAGAUGGGACUCAAAUCCGAUCCUUG